UUUUUCCUUGAGCCCGGGUGGUUUUUUUCCCCUCCUACUAGAUCUGCGCUUAUAACCAGAGUAAAUAGCUUUGAAACUGCUGAUGUUCAUGGAGACAGAGCAAUCUGCUCAUCUGCCUGAGUCCUGUGUAUGAAGGCAAAGUAACCAGGUAUUUAUCAACGCUGCAAAGCUUCCAGGGCUUCUUUGGGAAAGCCUGAUUCCCCAGGGCUCUGCGCAGCAGCUGCAGUACAGCCGGUCACCUUCUCUGCUGGCAUUAUCUCAAAUAUUUCUGUUAAUUCGGAGAGAGCUUCACCUUUAAUGCUGGUAGACAGUUGACCCCAUUGUGUGUGCAUUGCAUUCAGAGUUCCCAAAGCCUGGCAGCUGUUCAGCAGGUUUUCAAGCAUUUUUGCUGACUAUAAAGAAAACAUGUCUGUAUUUGGCUUCUCCACAGACUAUUUGGCCUUCCAGCCUAACAAAACACUACAGCGGUGUUGUCAGUCGCAUCCAGUUUUGGAAAGCCACACUGUUUAGUACAGUGUUUCCAGGCUGUCUGCCAUAAAACAAGCUUGUUCCUGCUGCAUUUCAUGCGAAUUUGGGUAUUAACAAGAAUUAGGGCAGGAUCGAAUCCAACGCGCCGCCCCAAAGAUACUUACACAUAUUUCAAACCCCCAAAUCAUCGGCUGUAACAACCAAACUUUGUGGAAAUUCCAGGCAGGGAGAAAAGCCCCACAUGGAUUAUUUGUUCCGUGUGUGCAUAGAGCUGGCAAAGGGCAAGGACAGGCACUUCAAGGGAAACAGUGGGAGAGAGCAGCUGGGAGCCACACAGCAGCCUGCUGUUGGCAUCAACAGGUCGUUCAUUCUGCUCUGUGUCAGCACACAGGUGUGCUCUGCAGUGACAGCGCUCCUCCAACAGCUCUCUCCCUCCACCAGCUCCCAAAGGGAGUGAUGUUUCCCACCAGCCCGAAGGCAGUCCCUUUAGCUGGGUGUGUCUCUGAGCACAAAGCACGCUUCUGCCUCGCUUCUGUGGCUCUGCAGGGGUUGUCUGUGAAGUGGGGUCUUUGUGCAUGUGCCUGCUGAUGCCUCCAGUGCACAGACAUCUUUGCUCCCCCGUACAUUUAACUUACAGUCUUCAGAUUAGCGUUACCGUGAGCACUGCUUUACAGUCAAAACGUGGUGUUGUAAGGGAUGAAAUCCAGCUGUUCCAUGUUUAUCCAGUGUCAGGGAUUUCACAACACUUGGUGUGCAAGUUAUGACUCGGUUUUUACAGCUGCCAGGAGCACAGCCCAAGCAGCAAGCUGUGUUCCCUCUGCUCAGAGCACUCUCAACACGGAGCAGUGUUGCAGGGAAGCGCAUUGCCAUGGCCGGGAAUAAAAUCUUCAGACAUAAAUAUUUUGCUUUUGGAAAAGUGGAUUUCACAAACAGAUAACGCAUACCUUAAAAAUGCUCCUCGGGGCACACAAAUGUUCAUUUCCUGGAAACAUUCAGCUGUGCUGCCGGCCCAGAGAAGCACGAUGCUGACCACCAGCUGACCUUGCACUGAUGCUGUCUGCUUCAGGAUAAAGCACAGAUACUUCUGCAGCUACACAGAACCGGUGACCCUGUUGGAUGAAUACAGUGUCUUAAGCAGAACACAACCUAAGGCCUUUGUCUCGAGAUAAUGCUUUCUUGCAUUAGACAUUUCUGUCCGGAAAACACAUCUCAAUCCAGGUCACCUGGAACUUCAACCCUUACCUUCACAGGACUCACGCUCUGCAGUAACUGCUGAGACCCCACCAAAGAGCAGAAAUUAGGGAGAAAUUUCAGAAGCCAGCUUGGACAUGAUGCUUUCUAUCUGCGUGAACGUGAGGAAAAGAUAAAGGUGAGUGCAAUAGAUGUUGCAGAGGCUGCAUAGCCUGCAGGUCAGUGUGAGCCCACACUGAACACACAUCGGGUCUCUGCACCAGCAAAGUAAUCUGAAGGCAAUUUUGGAGAGCUGCGUGCUCACCAAACACCGAGCUGCCUUUAUCUGAAAUAUAUUGUCUGUGUUAAGGAACUUCAAUACCAGAUGUCUUACGUGCAAGACAGACAGCCGGUUCAACUACAGCAGUACUCCAACAGGGAUGAAUAUCAUCAUGGGGGGGAUUGCAAAGCACAUUAAGGGGGAAAUGGGUGCUGAGAUUUCUUCCUCCUGGUGGUCCCCUGGAAGACAGAGACACGCUGUGGUAGGAGGGCUGAAUGUUGUGGCUGAAGUCAGAGAAAAACCAGGCAGAGAGGAGCCCAGGGAGCACUCUGGAGCAUUGGGAUUGCAGGUCAGUCCCCACAGCACAUACCUCCAUCAGGUGGACAUAGUUUGGUGUCUGAAGAAACAACAGCGAGAUCAAAUAUCCAUUAGAAUGAUUUCUUCUCUUUCCAUGCAUUCCAUCAUGAGUGGUGACAGGAGCUGUAGGGCUCGAGAAUGUCAACCCAUAGGACAUCUCACACCUGGGCUGCCCUUAAGGAGGGAAGGGACGGGCCCAGUAACACACACACUUCAGUGGACGUAGAGCACUGCUAAUCUACAUCAGGACUUACACCAGGGCUCCUAUCUACCCCGGUCCUGCUCUGUAAGGAGCCUGAAUUCCGCGGCAGGCAAAGAGACACUCAUUUGGUGGAGAGCAGGGAUUCCUCUGUGAGCCCCACCAGAUGGAAACCCAUUUUGCUCAGGAACUGCACUGGGAGUUGACACACUUCUUGCAAAACAAGCACAGUGCCAAAUCUCCAGGCAGAAAGCCAUGCUUGAAAAGGGUUUUUUUUUUUAACAAUGUGCUCUCAUCUGCUUUUUCCUCUUAGCAAAAACUUCCUCACUUGCCAGUUUAUAUCUCCCGCUGCCAUAGUUUCCCUUCAGCUUCAUAUCUCAGCUCCUGCUCUGCUCUCUGUGCACAUUUAUACACCAAACACUUUGCAGAAAACUUGAAAGGACUGCAUUGUCCUGCUAAUUGGUUAUAAGCACGUUAUCUGCAAUCUGCUGUCCCUGCCCAGCUAUUGUGCUCCCUUGGGGAUAAAACACACAUUAUUUAUUUGGAAUAAGUGCAUGUUAUGCUUAUAACAAGAUAAGCACAAAGCAAAAAAAUUACAAAUUAGAAACAUCAUUUUUCUCUUCACAAUGUUCAAGCUGGGAAUAUAAGCACUUGUACAACAUAUGCAUGCAUACAGUGAAGGCAUAUAUGCAGGAUCCAUCUGAUUUGCCAGACCUGAAUACCUCAGUUUUGAGAACCACGUGUGCAAAUGCCAAGUAAUCUGACUGCUGCUGAAGGUGGACAUGGUGUAAAUCUGAGACCUCUGCAGGCUGCUGAGGGAUGCUCUGCACGUUAUCACAACCUCAGAUGACCCUGGAGAAAAUCUCUGAGUGAGGAAAGAGGAUACAACUGGAGAAAAAGAACGGGCUAUGUGAGGAAUAUUUAUAAAACAUUUCUAAUCUCUACUCUCUGGAUAUCUUGAGGGAUGAGGAAAGUGCUUCUUGAGAGAAGGCUCUGUAGGCAGGCUGCAGUAAGGGGUGCUCAAAAUGCACAUCCAUUACUUUUGGGUGGUUUAUCAGUUUCAUUAUCAGAUUCAAAAUUAGAACCCCUUCCUUGUCAGCAGUGGUAAUUGUGUCUUAAAAAGGCACAGUGAAGAAAAUACAGUUGUGUGCAGAUCUGCAGAGCACAAUGGGGCCUCCACUGCCAGCAGGGGUCCCAGGCAUGAUCUCUCCUCUUGGGCAAUUCCAACGGGAGAACCCUGAUAACCCUCAUAUCUAGAUCUGUAAGAGCAACUCAUUGUCCUCUGCUAUCCUGUAAUUUAAAUAACACAUGUAGAGCCAUCAGCAGCCGGCAGACAUAUUGUGCUAUCCAGUUGCCUUGCUGUUCAAAUUAACGUAAUUACACGCCCAGUUCUCCUAUUUCAGUUGUAAUAGUGAAAACAGUGAACUUGCUGAUAACAGUGAGUACAAAGGCUCUGUUUUCUAGUUUAAGAGCUAAGCUCUUGUGUCAAAAGAGCAGUUUAAAGUUCACAGCCUGCUCUUAGUGGUCACACUUCAGCCACCAGGUGCACUUACCCAGCUCCACUUUCCUCCUUUCUCUCCAGAAUGCUUUAUGGGGAAGAGGGGGCUGUGUUUUCCUAAAUAAGGCAAAUAUCCUUUAUUCAGCUGGGCACUGGCAUGGAGUAACAUCAGUGUGGUUUCGAUAUGGCUCAAAAGUGUGGGUUGUUAAGCUGUGGUGGAAGGCAGCACGUGAAAGACCCCAGCCCUUCUUUCAUGAAAGGGGAGCUCAGGCCACAGCCUUGGAUGAAGGCUCCUUGUGCAGCCCUGUACCACUUUGCCCCCUAAAUACAUCACGUGAGCUCUUUGUGCCACCACUUCAUAAACCAGCCAUGGGAAUGGAAGAAGACUGCAGAGACCUCCCCAAAGGGCACCACUGCACUGCCCAGUGCCUGGCUGGAAGAGGCUGCUGAAACAAAGCAUGGGUGUAACUCAAGUUUGGAUUUAGCACUUCCUUUGCCAACAAGCACUGCUAAAAUGGAAACUGCUUGUAACAAAGAACACAAAAGCAAAACUGAAAUCAAAAAAUCCCCAUGAAGUGAUCUCGUAAUUAGCAGCUAUUUCUCAUAAAUAGCCGUUGCCUUCCAAAACUAAUUUCAUUAUGGAUAAGCAUUAGGCAGAUCUUCCCCCCAAUCUGUUUGAGCAGCAUGAAAGCACAGGUUCCCCUCCUCUCCUUGAACUCUUCCCUGUGUCAGUGUCUCCUUGCUAGCCCACAGGGUAACCAUCCAACUCUUGGCUGGCCUAAUGAACUGAACAUCCAGUUUGCUGGCAGCCCCAGAGCUGAUCCAAAGCAAACAGCAACAGCAUGGGGCCGAGCGCUGUGUGCUUUGCCAUGGCUUCACCCAUUUGCAGCCUCCUCACUGCUGAGCUGAGUCCCACCAAAGCCUUACAUCAGCACAUCUUUGGGCCUUGUCAGCUCUUGCCAGUGUCAACUUCGAGCUGUGCUUCUCCAGAUCCAUCUCUGUGUGUCCAUGUAUCUUUAAAAGGACACAAACCCCCCUCUGCAGCCUUCUCCAUGGCAAUCUCACCUACAGAAUCUGCCAACACAAGUUUUCAAUUCUUAUCUGGAAAAGGUUUUGAAAUGGUUUUACUAUUGUGAAACAUUUUACAGGGAAGUCUGGAUUCCUUGAAUAGAUAUCUGAAUUGACGGUUGAAGCUCCAGGACAUGCCUUUGCUGCAUUUCCAGUUCUCCUCCUCCACCACUAAAGUUUUCCCCAUGCAAUCUAAGAUCCUUCAUCAACUAGAAAAAUUAGAAGAAGUCAACUGAAUCAUCACAAGAUCACGUCCAUGUGUAGCAAAACUGUUUUAAGUGUCUCCUCCCCUGUUUUGCUGUGCUGCGCAGUUUGUCAUCCCCUCAGCUGUGCCCCCCCAUUCUGGUGUCCCUGCUGAGAAACAGCUUCCAGAAAACAGUCAGUUCAAACUUUUUUAUAAGUGCUUUUUUUUUAACCUUCUUCUGUGAUCUAUCUAUCUUUGCACUGUGGCCCCAGUUGUCCCGGUCAGCUCCAGCACAGCGUGGGAGGGGAUGGCCAGGCACUGCUCUGCCCCAGCUCCAAAGGAACCGUGGUAAAAGAAGCAACUCCAAGGGGGUUACAAGGAGGAGCUUGCAAGGCCUCCUGGCUCCUCUGCAGAGCUUCUCCCUCCUGUCAAAUGAUCCACUCAUCCUCCCCAGCUCAGAAAUCCUGCCCAUGCUGAUUUCCAGUUAAAGGAAGACCAACGACUCUACACAUCCACUUGGAAACACCAUCUGAAAUGUUGCGGAUCCCUCAACACUGUGCACUCAGAUCUGGGAAGAAAUACGAGUCCUCAACAGGACUCAAAGCACCUUUGUGAAGGCUCUUUCUAACUGUUGACAUUCUAUGUUCUGUUUUCAAAUGCACUUUAUUUGCAUUACCUGAAUAAACCUUCUGUUAAUAAGUUACCUAGCAGCUCUGAGUGAUCAGAACAGUAGUUAAUCUGCUGAUAAUGUUGAUAUUCAGGCAAAUAAGAGUAGCGACUGAACAAAGUUGAAUACAAGUUGGGAAUGCUUUGCUUGCUGAGAGGUCUCUAGUUUGCUUACGUGUUAACUCACAUCUCAGCUAAUGAGAAAAAACAAGUAUUGGGAGUUAUUCAAAACGAAGCUCUGGGCUGCAUGCAGCAAACACACAGCUCUGAUACUGAUUGUUAAAAAUACUUUGUUCUCUACCUUAGGAGUUUAGGAAUUAGCUGUUUAUUAUCGGGGAUCUUUCUGAACAUCCUUCCCAAGUAAAUAAGGAAAUCCUUCUUAAAAGAGUCUGAAGAAGUGUUUGUUAAACCUUUUUGUUCCCAGACACUCCAGUUCUCCUCUCGCACACCGAUGUCAGCUUGAGUUCAACCUGAAAAAACCGAGCAUGGCAAAGCAAAAACCCAAGCCCUGAGAGCAAACACCCUGCAGCUCAGUGAAGCACGCAGCAGUUUGCUUUCAGUCCACUAUUGCUAUAGUUAUAUUUUUCAGUUAAACAUUACACAACUUUGGAGUAGGAAUGGUGAAAAUAAAGGCGUGUUGACCCAGGAGGCAGUUCCCCUUUCAGUGCUCCCUUCUGCCCUUUCUGUUUUCUGUGUUUCAGUGCCGUUCAAGCCCAGAAACUCACCUUGCACCUGGCAACAUCUGCCACCUGUAAAUGCUGGAGCUUCACAGGUCCCCUCCAUGCAGCAGUCGGGCCACAGAGCUGUACUGAUCCUCGGUUUGCUGGUAGAUAUGGGGAGAUUCUGCUCCUCACUGCAGAAAGACUCAUUUUUCAGGGCAGAAGGAAAAUGCAUUUGCUAUUCAGCGUCACUGAAGACACAGACUGAAGAUCCACGUAAGCAAUAAGGUAUUUCUGCACCUCCUGCAAGACAUUUAUGCAACACCUUCUAUAAUAUUAAAGUGUGUGCAAUUUUAUCACUACUGUGAUAUCACUGGCGUGUUCCCUGCAUUCCAGUGUCUCCCUUCAGGUUUGCUCCAAUUGACUGAUAGCCCAGCAACAUGCACCAGUAAUUCAGCUUCCCCUCCCAGUCUGCACCAUCCUGCACUUCACCACUACGCCUUUCCCUGUCACUGACCUCAGAAGGUUCUCUCUAAAGCUCUGGGUGAUCUUGUCCAGUACAGUCCAACCUGCAUCUUCCCUGAGCUCUCACAGCCCCCUCAAUUCACAGCUGGUAACCUGGAAAGAACCGCACCUGAGAUGCUGCAGACACCAACACACUGAAGGACUCCAAAG
ensembl:lncRNA